rnacentral:rRNA from 1 species
UACGUAGGUGGCAAGCGUUGUCCGGAAUUAUUGGGCGUAAAGAGCGCGUAGGCGGUCUUGUAAGUGUGAAGUGAAAUCUCCAGGGCUCAACCCGGAAACUGCUUUGCAUACUGCAGGACUAGAGGGAUGCAGAGGUUUGUGGAAUUCCUGGUGUAGCGGUGAAAUGCGUUGAUAUCAGGAGGAACACCCAUGGCGAAGGCAGCAAACUGGGCAUCAUCUGACGCUGAGGCGCGAAAGCGUGGGUAGCAAACAGG